AUGCAGAGGCAGGAGGAGGACGAGCGGAUCCUGGAGGGCGUCGUCGGCUCCCGCGCCGUCUUCGACAUCAAGAAGCGGAUCGCGGGCCUCCUCCAGCCCGGCGAGACGGUCCCGCAUGCGCUGCGGAGACUCAAGGGAGACAAACGUGGAGGGGGGAAGGGGAUGGACGAGGACGAGGCGGCGCGGUGCACGUUCGACGAGCUGAUGGACGCCUCCGCGGAGCUCGUGCGGCGCGGCGACCUCGACGCGUACACGGACGACCGCGAGGCCUUCGAGCGCGGCGCCUGGGACUACGAGCACGCGCGUCGCCGUCGCCGCCUGGCGCGUGAGGCUCCAGAAGACGACGAAGCUGACCAACAGACCGCCGCCGCGACCCGUGACUACUACGUGGACAUGUUCGGAGACGACGCAGUCGGCGCCGGCUCGAAGACCGCAGCGGAAUCGUCCAGUGGACACGCAGCUAAUCCUGAACCGCCUGCAGCGCAGCCUGAUGCUUCGGGUGCGACGACGGAGGAGGAAGCCGGCGGCGUGGUGGGCUGGGACUACGUGUACGACCCGUCGUCGGCCUACUACUACAGCGGCAGCACGGGGCACUACUACGACGCCGCGUCCGGGUGCUAUUGGUCCGCGUCCGCGGGCACAUGGUUCUCCUAG
rnacentral:rRNA from 1 species